UUGAUCCUGGCUCAGAACGAACGCUGGCGGCGUGGAUAAGGCAUGCAAGUCGAGCGCGAAAGUUUCCUUCGGGAGAUGAGUAGAGCGGCAAACGGGUGAGUAACACGUGAGCAACCUGCCCUCGGGUGGGGGACAACCUCGGGAAACUGAGGCUAAUACCGCAUAAUGUUACCGGGCUUCAUGGUUUGGUAACCAAAGGGGGGGAGACCUCCCGCCUGGAGAGGGGCUCGCGCCUGAUUAGCUUGUUGGUGAGGUAAUGGCUCACCAAGGCAUUGAUCAGUAGCCGGUCUGAGAGGAUGGCUGGCCACACUGGGAUUGAGAUACGGCCCAGACUCCUACGGGGGGCAGCAGUCUAGAAGCUUCCGCAAUGGGCGAAAGCCUGACGGAGCGACGCCGCGUGCAGGACGAAGGCUUUCGGGUCGUAAACUGCUUUCGACAGGGAGGAAAUGCUGGGUGGUUAAUACCUGCUUAGUUUGAAGGUACCUGGAGAAGAAGCCCUGGCUAACUCCGUGCCAGCAGCCGCGGUAAUACGGAGAGGGCAAGCGUUGUUCGGAUUUAUUGGGCGUAAAGCGCACGCAGGCGGCUGAAUAAGUCGGGUGUUAAAGACCUACCGCUCACCCGGGAGAAUGCGUCCGAUACUGCUAAACUAGAGUGUGGGAGAGGAAAGUGGAAUUCCAUGUGUAGCGGUGAAAUGCGUAGAUAUCUGGAGGAACACCGGUGGCGAAGGCGGCUUUCUGGCCCACAACUGACGCUGAGACUCGAAAGCGUGGGGAGCGAACGGGAUUAGAUACCCCGGUAGUCCACGCUGUAAACGUUGGAUACUAGGUGUGGGAGGUAUUCUACCCCUUCUGUGCCGUCGCUAACGCAUUAAGUAUCCCGCCUGGGGAGUACGACCGCAAGGUUGAAACUCAAAGGAAUUGACGGGGGCCCGCACAAGCGGUGGAGCAUGUGGUUUAAUUCGACGCAACGCGAAGAACCUUACCUGGGUUUAAAUCGCGGCGGACCGCUCCAGAGAUGGAGUUUCCCUUCGGCCACCGCCGUGAAGGUGCUGCAUGGCUGUCGUCAGCUCGUGUCGUGAGAUGUUGGGUUAAGUCCCGCAACGAGCGCAACCCCUACCCUUAGUUGCCAGCGGUUCGGCCGGGAACUCUAAGGGGACUGCCGGUGAUAAACCGGAGGAAGGUGGGGAUGACGUCAAGUCAUCAUGGCCUUUAUGUCCAGGGCUACACACGUGCUACAAUGGGCGGUACAAAGGGCUGCGAUGCCGCAAGGUGGAGCCAAUCCCAAAAACCUGUCCUCAGUUCGGAUUGCAGUCUGCAACUCGACUGCAUGAAGGUGGAAUCGCUAGUAAUCGCGGAUCAGCAUGCCGCGGUGAAUACGUUCCCUGAGCCUUGUACACACCGCCCGUCACAUGACCCGAGUUGGCUGCUCCCGAAGUCGCUGUCCGAACCGUAAGGA
rnacentral:rRNA from 1 species